rnacentral:rRNA from 1 species
UACGUAGGGGGCAAGCGUUGUCCGGAUUUACUGGGUGUAAAGGGUGCUCAGGUGGCUUGGAAAGUCAGUGGUGAAAUCUGAGAGCUUAACUCUCAAACUGCCAUUGAUACUUCUUAGCUUGAGUACGGAAGAGGCUGAUGGAAUUUCAGGUGUAGCAGUGAAAUGCGUAGAUAUCUGAAAGAACACCAGUGGCGAAGGCGGUCAGCUGGUCCGUUACUGACACUAAAGCACGAAAGCGCGGGUAGCAAACAGG